GACGAACGCUGGCGGCGUGCUUAACACAUGCAAGUCGAACGGAAAGGCCCCUUUGGGGGUACUCGAGUGGCGAACGGGUGGGUAACACGUGAGUAACCUGCCCUUGACUUCGGGAUAAAUUCAGGAAACUGGGGCUAAUACCGGAUAGGAAUCCUUGCUGCAUGGUGGGGGUUGGAAAGCUUCGGCGGUUUUGGGUGGACUCGCGGCUUAUCAGCUUGUUGGUGGGGUAGUGGCUUACCAAGGCUUUGACGGGUAGCCGGCCUGAGAGGGCGACCGGCCACAUUGGGACUGAGAUACGGCCCAGAGUCCGAAGGGAGGAAGCAGGGGGGAAGAUUGAACGAUGGGCGGAAGCCUGAUGCAGCAAGGCCGCGGGCGGGAGGACGGCCUUCGGGUUGUAAACCGCUUUCAGCAGGGGCGAAGCUUGUGGUGACGGUACCUGCAGAAGAAGCACCGGCUAACUACGUG
rnacentral:rRNA from 1 species